rnacentral:lncRNA from 1 species
CACAGGGAAAACCAUCUCUGGUGCUGGCUGCUUCUGCAGCUCCUGCUUCUAGAAAUGACCAGCACAGUCUCUGCCUCUUCAUCCAUCCCGACCACCACUGGGUCCAUCACAGCCUCAAACUCUUCAUCCAUCCCGACCACCACUGGGUCCAGCACAGCUCUGACUCUUCAUCACCCCUGUCUACCACUCUGACCAGCCUAGCUUCUUCCUCUCCAUCUAUACCAACCAACACUGUGACCAGCAUAGCUUCUUCCUCUAUAUCUAUGCUGACCACCCCUGGGUCCAGCACAGCCUCUGUGUCUAUAUCCACCCCAACUACCACUGGGUCCAGCACAGCCUCAAACUCUUCAUCCAUCCCGACCACCAUUGGGACCAGCAUAGCCUCUGUCUCUUCGUCUCCCCCGACCACCAGUAGAACCAGCACAGCCUCUGUGUCUAUAUCCAUCCUGACCACCACUGGGUCCAGCACCAGCAUAACUUCCUCCUCUACACCCACCCCGACGACCACGGGGUCCAACACAGACUCAAACUCUUCAUCGCUCCUGUCUUCCACUCUGACCAGCCUAGCUUCUUCCUCUCCAUCUACACCAACCAACACUGUGACCAGCAUAGCUUCUUCCUCUCCAUCUACACCAACCAACGCUGGGACCAGCAUAGCUUCUUCCUCUCCAUCUACACCAACCAACGCUGGGACCAGCAUAGCUUCUUCCUCUCCAUCUACACCAACCAACACUGUGACCAGCAUAGCUUCUUCCUCUCCAUCUACACCAACCAACACUGGGACCAGCAUAGCUUCUUCCUCUACAUCUAUGUCCACCACCACUGGGUCCAGCACAGCCUCAAACUCUUCAUCCAUCCCGACCACCACUGGGUCCAUCACAGCCUCUGACUCUUCAUCACCCCUGUCUACCACUCUGACCAGCCUAGCUUCUUCCUCUCCAUCUACACCAACCAACGCUGGGACCAGCAUAGCUUCUUCCUCUCCAUCUACACCAACCAACGCUGGGACCAGCAUAGCUUCUUCCUCUACAUCUAUGCUGACCACCCCUGGGUCCAGCACAGCCUCUGUGUCUACAUCCACCCCAACCACCACUGGGUCCAUCACAGCCUCAAACUCUUCAUCCACCCCAACCACCUCUGGGUCCAGCACAGCCUCUGACUCUUCAUUGCCCCUGUCUACCGCUGUGACCAGCAUAGCUUCUUCCUCUCCAU